AAAUUGAAGAGUUUGAUCAUGGCUCAGAUUGAACGCUGGCGGCAGGCCUAACACAUGCAAGUCGAACGGUAGCACAGAGAGCUUGCUCUCGGGUGACGAGUGGCGGACGGGUGAGUAAUGUCUGGGAAACUGCCUGAUGGAGGGGGAUAACUACUGGAAACGGUGGCUAAUACCGCAUAACGUCGCAAGACCAAAGAGGGGGACCUUCGGGCCUCUUGCCAUCAGAUGUGCCCAGAUGGGAUUAGCU
rnacentral:rRNA from 46 species